GCCAGGAUCCUUUGAUUCCAGAAAACCAGCCAUGCCAACAACGGAUGCUAUGGCUCCUGUGAGUGGUCAGAAGCCUCUGGCACCAAGAGUUGGAAGACAGAACUGGGUUCUCCCUCUCUGGAAUGUGGAAGAAUGCCCUGCAAGACAAAAUCAGAUCAUCAUUAAAAUCUCCUUAACACCUAGAGACCCUGCCAGAUGCAGAAAGCUUCCUUCACGACAGCACAAAUAGUUUCCAUUUCCCAGCUGAGAGCCAGCAUCCAAGAGGAUCUUCUGAUUUGAAACUGAAUGAAACAAAAGAUGGCCCAGAACUCGGCUGCAGCCAGGAAACAGAGGCUCACAAGCCAGAAGACCUCUGCAAUGUCCCAGAAAUCCCCACAGGGCAGAAAGAGGGCACACUGGCUACUCUAUGUAAGUAAGCAUGCUUCCAGCCUUCCAGCUCUUUUUCUAACAAAUAUUUCUGCAGGUUCUUGGUGAAACUUCGUAAAAAUCCAUUCCACAUUAUACUACCAAUGGUAUGCCCUUGGUCUUACUCUCUGCAGGUACCUUUACAAGAUUUCAUAAGUUCAUCAUCCCAUCAUUUAUUUCUUCAUUUACUUCUUUCAUUUAUUAUUCAGGAAAUAUAUAUUGAGCAUCUCAUAAUGCAUUCAUUUCUCUAACAUUGCUUGAGCACCUAUCACAAGCAAGAAUAUGGGGUUGGGGCUAAAGAGAUUAAUACACCAGUUUCUUCUCAGUACAGUGCCCUCCCAUGUUGAACCCUUACUAUAUGCUCUACACAUUUUAAGAGCUUUCACCUACAUGCAAAAUGUUCUCAACUGUGUAUUUCCAACUCUGCUUUCCAGAGCCACAAGUCAGAUUUCAACAUGCCUGCUAGGUUCAGUCUCAGUCAUGACAA